CUAAGGUAGCGAAAUUCCUUGUCGGGUAAGUUCCGACCCGCACGAAAGGCGUAACGAUUUGGGCACUGUCUCAACGAGAGACUCGGUGAAAUCAUAGUACCUGUGAAGAUGCAGGUUACCCGCGACAGGACGGAAAGACCCCGUGGAGCUUUACUGUAGCCUGAUAUUGAAAUUCGGCACAGCUUGUACAGGAUAGGUAGGAGCCUUUGAAACGUGAGCGCUAGCUUACGUGGAGGCGUUGGUGGGAUACUACCCUAGCUGUGUUGGCUUUCUAACCCGCACCACUUAUCGUGGUGGGAGACAGUGUCAGGCGGGCAGUUUGACUGGGGCGGUCGCCUCCUAAAAGGUAACGGAGGCGCUCAAAGGUUCCCUCAGAAUGGUUGGAAAUCAUUCAUAGAGUGUAAAGGCAUAAGGGAGCUUGACUGCGAGACCUACAAGUCGAGCAGGGUCGAAAGACGGACUUAGUGAUCCGGUGGUUCCGCAUGGAAGGGCCAUCGCUCAACGGAUAAAAGCUACCCUGGGGAUAACAGGCUUAUCUCCCCCAAGAGUUCACAUCGACGGGGAGGUUUGGCACCUCGAUGUCGGCUCAUCGCAUCCUGGGGCUGGAGUUGGUCCCAAGGGUUGGGCUGUUCGCCCAUUAAAGCGGUACGCGAGCUGGGUUCAGAACGUCGUGAGACAGUUCGGUCCCUAUCCGUCGUGGGCGUAGGAAAUUUGAGAGGAGCUGUCCUUAGUACGAGAGGACCGGGAUGGACAUACCUCUGGUGUACCAGUUGUCGUGCCAACGGCAUAGCUGGGUAGCUAUGUAUGGACGGGAUAAGUGCUGAAAGCAUCUAAGCAUGAAGCCCCCCUCAAGAUGAGAUUUCCCAACUUCGGUUAUAAGAUCCCUCGAAGAUGACGAGGUUAAUAGGUUCGAGGUGGAAGCGUGGUGACACGUGGAGCUGACGAAUACUAAUCGAUCGAAGACUUAAUCAA
rnacentral:rRNA from 1 species